ensembl:lncRNA
GGUGUUUUCUCCUCCCUUUAUACAGACUUAAAGACACUCAGUAUCUAGUGUGUUUAUCUGAGGUUAUAAGAACAAUUUUGUGCCUUACAUUAAGAAUUCAAGAUUCAUCAAAACUUUGUGUGGAAUAUUUCAAGGUGGCUAUACAAGGUCUAAUCAGUCAGCACAGGUAGUGUUGGAAACUGAUUCACCCUUGAUGGUCCUCUAUUCAUUACAGAGAAAUGAAGAAGAACAAAACAUUACAUGACAAGAUAGCAAUGUAGAGCAUCUCAAGGAGAAGAGUUCUCCAAGCAGCUGUUUACAAAUGCCUCACUAGAGGAAUGGCUCUUUCCAGCAAAAGGCAGUAAAGGACAAAGGUUUCUAGGAACUGGGAAUGUCUGGAAUGCCUUGGACAACAUCAAAACCCUAUCAAGGGGGUUCACUACUACCAUAAUCAAUGACCUUUCCAAUGAC